UCGAGAGUUUGAUCCUGGCUCAGGAUGAACGCUAGCGGCAGGCUUAACACAUGUAAGUCGAGGGGUAUAGUUCUUCGGAGCUAGAGACCGGCGCACGGGUGCGUAACGCGUAUGCAAUCUACCUUUUACAGAGGGAUAGCCCAGAGAAAUUUGGAUUAAUACCUCAUAGUAUGUGAGAAUCGCAUGGUUUUCACAUUAAAGUUCCAACGGUAAAGAUGAGCAUGCGUCCCAUUAGCUAGAUGGUAA
rnacentral:rRNA from 1 species